rnacentral:rRNA from 1 species
UACGUAGGGUGCAAGCGUUAGUCGGAAUUACUGGGCGUAAAGCGUGCGCAGGCGGUUUGCUAAGACCGAUGUGAAAUCCCCGGGCUUAACCUGGGAACUGCAUUGGUGACUGGCAAGCUAGAGUGUGGCAGAGGGGGGUAGAAUUCCACGUGUAGCAGUGAAAUGCGUAGAGAUGUGGAGGAAUACCGAUGGCGAAGGCAGCCCCCUGGGCCAACACUGACGCUCAUGCACGAAAGCGUGGGGAGCAAACAGG